rnacentral:rRNA from 1 species
GAUGAACGCUAGCUACAGGCUUAACACAUGCAAGUCGAGGGGCAGCAUUAUCGAAGCUUGCUUUGAUAGAUGGCGACCGGCGCACGGGUGAGUAACGCGUAUCCAACCUUCCCCAUAGUCAGGAAUAGCCCGGCGAAAGUCGAAUUAAUGCCUGAUGUUUUCCACGGACGGCAUCCGAUGUGGAACAAAGAUUGAUCGCUAUGGGAUGGGGAUGCGUCUGAUUAGCUUGUUGGCGGGGUAACGGCCCACCAAGGCAACGAUCAGUAGGGGUUCUGAGAGGAAGGUCCCCCACAUUGGAACUGAGACACGGUCCAAACUCCUACGGGAGGCAGCAGUGAGGAAUAUUGGUCAAUGGGCGGAAGCCUGAACCAGCCAAGUAGCGUGAGGGACGACUGCCCUAUGGGUUGUAAAACCUCUUUUUAUAAGGGAAUAAAAUACGGGACGUGUCCUGUUUUGCAUGUACCUUAUGAAUAAGGACCGGCUAAUUCCGUG